rnacentral:rRNA from 1 species
AACGCUGGCGGCGUGCCUAAUACAUGCAAGUCGAACGGUCUUUCUAUGGAAGCUUGCUUCCACUGAGAAGAUAGUGGCGAACGGGUGAGUAACACGUGGGUAACCUGCCCAUAAGAGGGGGAUAACAUCCGGAAACGGGUGCUAAUACCGCAUAGUUUUCUUGAUUGCAUGAUUGAGAAGGAAAGACGGCCUUUGUGCUGUCGCUUAUGGAUGGACCCGCGGCGUAUUAGUUAGUUGGUGAGGUAACGGCUCACCAAGACGAUGAUACGUAGCCGACCUGAGAGGGUGAUCGGCCACAUUGGGACUGAGACACGGCCCAAACUCCUACGGGAGGCAGCAGUAGGGAAUCUUCCGCAAUGGGCGAAAGUCUGACGGAGCAACGCCGCGUGAGUGAAGAAAAGGUUUUCGGAUCGUAAAACUCUGUUGUCAGAGAAGAACAAGUUGGAGAGUAACUGCUCCAGCCUUGACGGUAUCUGACCAGAAAGCCACGGCUAACUACGUGCCAGCCGCUGC